UACGGGGGGGGUAAGCGUUGUUCGGAAUUACUGGGCGUAAAGGGCUCGUAGGCGGCCAACUAAGUCGGACGUGAAAUCCCUCAGCUUAACUGGGGAACUGCGUCCGAUACUGGAUGGCUUGGAUUUGGGAGAGGGAUGCGGAAUUCCAGGUGUAGCGGUGAAAUGCGUAGAUAUCUGGAGGAACACCGGUGGCGAAGGCGGCAUCCUGGACUAAUAUUGACGCUGAGGAGCGAAAGCCAGGGGAGCAAACGGG
rnacentral:rRNA from 1 species